rnacentral:rRNA from 1 species
ACUCAAAGGAAUUGACGGGGGCCCGCACAAGCAGCGGAGCAUGUGGUUUAAUUCGAAGCAACGCGAAGAACCUUACCAGGUCUUGACAUCGAUCCAAAAGCCAUAGAGAUAUGGUGUAACUUAGGUUGGGAGAAGACAGGUGGUGCAUGGUUGUCGUCAGCUCGUGUCGUGAGAUGUUGGGUUAAGUCCCGCAACGAGCGCAACCCUUAUGGUCAGUUACUAACGCGUAGAGGCGAGGACUCUGACGAGACCGCCGGGGACAACUCGGAGGAAGGUGGGGACGACGUCAAAUCAUCAUGCCCCUAAUGACCUGGGCUACACACGUGCUACAAUGGUGGCAACAAAGAGGGGCGAACCCGCGAGGGGGAGCGGAUCUCAAAAAAGCCAUCUCAGUUCGGAUUGUGGGCUGCAACCCGCCCACAUGAAGUCGGAGUUGCUAGUAAUCGCGAAUCAUCAUGUCGCGGUGAAUACGUUCCCGGGCCUUGUACACACCGCCCGU